UACCAGCACCCCGAGUGGUCGGGACGAUUAUUGGGCCUAAAGCAUCCGUAGCCGGUUCUGCAAGUCCCCCGUUAAAUCCAGCUGCUCAACAGAUGGGCCGCGGAAGAUACUAUAGAGCUAGGAGGCGGGAGAGGCAAGCGGUACUCGAUGGGUAGGGGUAAAAUCCGUUGAUCCAUUGAAGACCACCAGUGGCGAAGGCGGCUUGCCAGAACGCACUCGACGGUGAGGGAUGAAAGCUGGGGGAGCAAACCGG
rnacentral:rRNA from 1 species